rnacentral:RNase_P_RNA from 1 species
UAGUCAAGCUGGAUAAUCGCUCGUUUAACCCUCAAAAGUUAAGCGGGAGGAAAGUCCGGACACCUGCCCGCGUUAUUGCGGGUAUACUAUGGGCAGUGGGUAACCCCCACCGGAUGCAUUGAAAGAUGCAUUUAGGGAAAGUGCCACAGAGACUAUACUGUCCCGCUUAGCGGGAGAAAGGUGAAAAGCCGAUUAAUGUUUAUUUUGCUUUUGUGAAAUAAGCUGUAAUUGGAGCCGACUGGCGACAGUCGGAACUCGGCAAACCCUGCCUGGUGCAAGUCUGUGUCUCCCGGCGUUUCAUCGGGAGAAAGACGCUCGAUCCCGAUAGUAAUAUCGGGGCUAGAUAAAUGAUUAUCUCUUUCGCCUUUGGCGAAUAGACAGAAUCCGGCUUAUAGGCUUCGGCUAACAA